rnacentral:rRNA from 1 species
UAGGGAAUCUUCCGCAAUGGGCGAAAGCCUGACGGAGCAACGCCGCGUGAGUGAAGAAGGAUUUCGGUUCGUAAAGCUCUGUUGUUAGGGAAGAAUGAUUGUGUAGUAACUAUACACAGUAGAGACGGUACCUAACCAGAAAGCCACGGCUAACUACGUGCCAGCAGCCGCGGUAAUACGUAGGUGGCAAGCGUUGUCCGGAAUUAUUGGGCGUAAAGCGCGCGCAGGUGGUUUAAUAAGUCUGAUGUGAAAGCCCACGGCUCAACCGUGGAGGGUCAUUGGAAACUGUUAAACUUGAGUGCAGGAGAGAAAAGUGGAAUUCCUAGUGUAGCGGUGAAAUGCGUAGAGAUUAGGAGGAACACCAGUGGCGAAGGCGGCUUUUUGGCCUGUAACUGACACUGAGGCGCGAAAGCGUGGGGAGCAAACAGGAUUAGAUACCCUGGUAGUCCACGCCGUAAACGAUGAGUGCUAGGUGUUAGACCCUUUCCGGGGUUUAGUGCCGUAGCUAACGCAUUAAGCACUCCGCCUGGGGAGUACGACCGCAAGGUUG